AGAAGUAUAAUUAUGGCAAUGGGUAUCAUGACUGUUUAUAUCUGUACUUUUUUUAAUCUCUGUUAAUAGAAAUUCAUACAUUUAUAACUCUUUUCUGUUUUUUUAAUGCAGAUUGGGAUUAGGCAAACUGGAUGUUACUGGGAACCAAAGGAUGUUUGGUUCAACUGAUAGACUGAGAUCAGAUCUCAAAAAUGUGUUGCAGAAUUUACAAAUGGAACAUCAGGAGAUGCUAAAUAUACCAAAGGUUCAAAUGUGUAAGAAGAGAAUAUUGUACAAUUGAAAAUCAGAAUGACAUAAUAUAAAGUACGAUGGGAAAAAAGAAGAGAAACAGAAAAAGAAGGGGAUGAAACCAUUGCAGUAAACAAACAAAAUGAUGGGAUGAACUAAAUUUUGAGAUUCUGUUCUUGGUUCAAGUGUUGCUGCAUGAAUCAAUGAAUCACACCAGAAGUCAUUACCGAGUUGUGUCCCGUUGUCACUCCAUUUGUUCCCCGUCUUUCUUACUUUUGAAUAUGAUGUUUUUUAUUAUUUUAUGAUCUCCAAGAAUAUGCAUAAUGUACUCAUUUGGUUUAUAACUUAGAAGUUGUAAGUUUUGAUAAUGGUAUGAAUUUUGA